rnacentral:rRNA from 1 species
GACAGUUUUGCCCUGAGUAGACCUUGGAGUCGGGUUGUUUGUGAAUGCAGCCCAAAGUGGGUGGUAAACUCCAUCCAAGGCUAAAUACUAGCACGAGUCCGAUAGCGAACAAGUACCGUGAGGGAAAGUUGAAAAGUACUUUGAAGAGAGAGUAAACAGUGCGUGAAACCGCUCAGAGGUAAACGGGUGGAGUUGAACUGUAAGCUCCGGGGAUUCAGCUGGUGAGUGUGUCAUGGGCUUGGUCAUUUUCGGCCGGCCUCUAGAGUCCGCUUAGCUGCGGGUUCCUGCUUCUUCGGAAGUGGGGAUGUGCGUUGCGCUUGUCAAGUGCUGUGCGCUCUGGAGGUUGCCGGGCUGGCUCGCCGGUGCACUUUCUCGGAGUGGUCACCACGACCGGCGUUGUUGUCUUACUGCUGUAGUCAAACCGGCCAGGUUUGGUCCUUGUGGCUGAGCUUGAUCGGGAUGGCAGGUAGCUCAUUGGUUGGCUUGUCCAGUCUUUGGGUGUAAUCAGCUGACUGCAGUAGUUCUGUGCAAUACGUCGGAGACGGCGGCUCGAGGUAUUUGCUUAUGUGCCGUUGGCUGGCAGUGUCGGGUUUGACUGGCGUGUUUACCUGCUUCGGUGGGUCCGUUGGUAGCCCGGUGCUGUUCGGUUGGCGGUUGCAUUUGUGAUACCGCUCAUGGGCCCAUAGUCUGUGGUGUAGCAGCAAACGAUCCACCUGACCCGUCUUGAAACACGGACCAAGGAGUUUAACAUGUGCGCGAGUCAUUGGGCGUUACGAAACCCAAAGGCGCAGUGAAAGUGAAGGUUCGGCUUGUCCGAGCUGUGGUGAGAUCCUGUGGCUUCUCGUGCGAGGUACCACCAAGCAUUUGAGCUAUAGGCGCAUCACCAGCCCGUCUCAUGGUGUAGUCAUGUGACCUCGUGUUGUGUGCAUCACCGGGGCGGAGCCUGAGCGCACAUGUUGAGACCCGAAAGAUGGU